rnacentral:rRNA from 1 species
GCUGAACGCUGGCGGCGUGCCUAAUACAUGCAAGUCGAGCGAACGGACGAGAAGCUUGCUUCUCUGAUGUUAGCGGCGGACGGGUGAGUAACACGUGGAUAACCUACCUAUAAGACUGGGAUAACUUCGGGAAACCGGAGCUAAUACCGGAUAAUAUUUUGAACCGCAUGGUUCAAAAGUGAAAGACGGUCUUGCUGUCACUUAUAGAUGGAUCCGCGCUGCAUUAGCUAGUUGGUAAGGUAACGGCUUACCAAGGCAACGAUGCAUAGCCGACCUGAGAGGGUGAUCGGCCACACUGGAACUGAGACACGGUCCAGACUCCUACGGGAGGCAGCAGUAGGGAAUCUUCCGCAAUGGGCGAAAGCCUGACGGAGCAACGCCGCGUGAGUGAUGAAGGUCUUCGGAUCGUAAAACUCUGUUAUUAGGGAAGAACAUAUGUGUAAGUAACUGUGCACAUCUUGACGGUACCUAAUCAGAAAGCCACGGCUAACUACGUG